rfam:Glycine soja cultivar W05 scaffold3501_14, whole genome shotgun sequence.
AUCUUUCACGCAAGGAUAAAGUAUUCAUCCAAACACAUGAAUAGGACAAAAUGGAGAAGCUCAGCAGAUCCCAAUGAUAGGGAUGAUGCAAAUUAGUGGAGUGAGUCCUUCUAUUCUAGCAAGCAUGGAAUAAUCGAAUUUGGAAAGAGAGUCAAAGAGUGCUUGAAAAUUUUUGAGAAGAAAACGGAUGAGGAUCGACAAUGUGUCCUGAUUGAAUGUGGAACGGUGAGAGUCGGUCUGCCGAUUGACUCAUAACAUUGACCAACACAGAUUGAGAUGGUGGCUCAAGCUCGGGCUAUUGAUAUGCACAUAGAGACGUCAUCAUCAUGAUUGUAGAUGGCAGCGCGCACACUUAGCAUGCCCCAGCACCUAUGCAUUCCUGGCAUUGCCCUGUGGGCUUGCCAUUCAGCCCGUCUUAAAACACAGACCAAGGAGUCUAACAUGCAUGCGAGUCAAUGGGCGAGUAAACCCAUAAUGCGGAAGGAAGCUGAUUGGUGGGAUCCCCUUGUGGGUUGCACGACUGAUCAACCUUGAUCUUCUAUGAAGGGUUUGAGUGAGAGUAUACAUAUUGGGACCCAAAAGAUGGUGGACUAUGUCUGAGCGGGGUGAAGCCAGAGGAAACUCUGGUGGAGGUGAUAUUCAAAUUGUUCGUCUAACUUGUGUAUAUUGGUGAAAGACUAAUCAAACCAUCUAGUAGCUAGUUCCCUCCGAAGUUCCCUCAAGAAAGUUAGAGCUUACGGGCGAGUUCUAUAGGGUAAAGCUAAUGUUUAGAGGCAUCAAGGGUGCAAUGCCUUAAACCUAUUUUCAAACUUUAAAUGGGUAGGACGGUGCGGCUGCUUUGUUGAGUCACACCAUAAAAUCGAGAGCUCCAAGUUGGCCAUUUUUGGUAAGCAGAACUGGUGAUGUGGGAUGAACUUGAAGUUGGGUUAUGGUGCCUAACUACACGCUAACCUAGACCCCACAAAGGGUGUUGGUUGAUUAAGAUAGCAAGAUGGUGGUCAUGGAAGUCGAAAUUCCCUAAGGAGUGUGUAACAAGUCACCUGCCGAAUCAACUAGCCUUGAAAAUGGAUGGCGCUAAAGCGUGACCUAUACUCGACUGUCAAGGCAAGGACCAAGUGUCGUGAGUAGGAUAGCGUGGCGGUUGCUGCAAAACCCAGGGUGCGAGCCCGGGCGAAGCGAUCGUCAAUGCAGAACUUGGUGGUAGUAGCAAAUAUUCAAAUGAGAACUUUGAAGGCCAAAGAGGGGAAAUGUUCCAUGUGGGCGACACUUGCAAAUGGGUUAGUCGAUCCUAAGGGAUGGGGAAGCCUGUCUGAUAGCGCUCUGUGCGUGUAGUAUGAAAGGGAAUCAAGUUAAAAUCCCUGAACCAAGAUGUGACGACAGAUGACUACGUUAGGGAGUCCGAAGACAUUGGCAAAGGCCUCAGAAAGUGUUAUCAUUUUUGUGUAUCAGUUGGCCCACCCUGGAAACGACUCAGUUGGAGGUAAGGUCCAGCGGCUGGAAGAGCACCACACGUCGCGUGGUGUCUGAUGCGCCCCCGGAGACCUUUGGAAAUCCAGAGGACCAAGUGUCUCCCAUGCCAAACCAGUCUAAUUCAGGUAGUACCAUUUCCUUUGGGACAAGGUGGACCAAUUCAGGCUCUGU